AGGGCUUGGCCAUGACGGGCAUCUCAAGUUCCCCGAGGACCGGAGAUCACCCCCUUAUCAUAGUCAACCAGAUAACAAUACCAUAAAAAAGUAUAACUCCAACAUAAGAUGAGAUAGAAGAAUAUGAUUCAGACUCAAAAGAGUCUAUAAGUUCAAUAACAAAUCCCAUGUCCAUAGUACUAUCACCCAAAGCCUCUAACAAAACCAAAGAUAGAUUGGCCAGGACAUGCCCCCGAC
rnacentral:lncRNA from 1 species